rnacentral:rRNA from 1 species
UACGUAGGCAGCGAGCGUUGUUCGGAGUUACUGGGCGUAAAGGGUGUGUAGGCGGUUGUUUAAGUUUGGUGUGAAAUCGUCCCGGCUCAACUGGGAGGGUGCGCCGAAUACUGAAUGACUUCGAGUGCGGGAGAGGAGAGUGGAAUUCCUGGUGUAGCGGUGGAAUGCGCAGAUAUCAGGAGGAACACCAAUAGCGAAGGCAGCUCGCUGGGACGUUACUGACACUGAGGCGCGAAAGCGUGGGGAGCGAACAGG